GACGAACGCUGGCGGCGUGCUUAACACAUGCAAGUCGAACGGAAAGGCCCUGCUUUUGUGGGGUGCUCGAGUGGCGAACGGGUGAGUAACACGUGAGUAACCUGCCCUUGACUUUGGGAUAACUUCAGGAAACUUGGGCUAAUACCGGAUAGGAGCUCCUGCUGCAUGGUGGGGGUUGGAAAGUUUCGGCGGUUGGGGAUGGACUCGCGGCUUAUCAGCUUGUUGGUGGGGUAGUGGCUUACCAAGGCUUUGACGGGUAGCCGGCCUGGGAGGGUGACCGGCCACAUUGGGACUGAGAUACGGACCAGACUGCUACGGGAGGCAGCAGUGGAGAAUAUUGCACAAUGGGCGGAAGCCUGAUGCAGCAACGCCGGGUGCGGGAUGACGGCCUUCGGGUUGUAAACCGCUUUCGCCUGUGACGAAGCGUGAGUGACGGUAAUGGGUAAAGAAGCACCGGCUAACUACGUG
rnacentral:rRNA from 1 species